AUGGUUAAGUACCAAGCAGUCAGAGAGAAGACAGAGAAGAGUAAGUGGGAGAUAACACCCACUUAUAUGGAGAAGUUGGAGGAGUCAAAGAAGUACUCUAGGCAUUGCACUGCUUACAUGGCAGGUCCUGGUAUUUGGCAAGUCACUAGUGGGGAGUCUACCUACUGUGUGAACCUUGAUAAGUGGACCUGUGACUGCAAGAAGUGGGACCUAUGUGGUUGGCCAUGUAACCAUGCAGUUUAUGCCAUUACAAGAGUGAAGGGACAACCAGAAGACUAUGUGCAUGAGUUCUUCAAAAAACCAUUGUAUAAGGAAACAUACAAGCACAUCAUCUACCCUGUACCAGGGCCUGACUGUUGGCCUAAGACACCAACUGCUGACAUAGAUCCACCAGUGUUCAAAGAGAAGAAGGGCAGGAAGUAA
rnacentral:rRNA from 1 species